AGAGUUUGAUCAUGGCUCAGGGUGAACGCUGGCGGCGUGCUUGACACAUGCAAGUCGAACGGUAUGUGGCAACACAUAGAGUGGCGAACGGGUGAGUAACACGUGGGAACGUACCCUACGCAGGGGGAUAACUGACCGAAAGGACAGCUAAUACCGCAUAAGACCGAGAGGUGAAAGGUGCAACUGCACCGGCGAAGGAGCGGCCCGCGGACCAUCAGCUAGUUGGUGGGGUAAGAGCCUACCAAGGCAACGACGGAUAGCCGGCGUGAGAGCGUGGCCGGCCACAAGGACACUGAGAUACGGGUCCUACUCCUACGGGAGGCAGCAGUGCGGAAUUUUAGAUAAUGGAGGCAACUCUGAUCUAGCGACGCCGCGUGCAGGAAGAAGGUCUUCGGAUUGUAAACUGCUGUGGUAAGGGAAAAAUGCCAUGUAGAGUGGAAAGCUACAUGGAGGGAUGGUACUUUACUAGAAAGCCCCGGCUAACUACGUGCCAGCAGCCGCGGUAAUACGUAGGGGGCGAGCGUUACCCGGAAUCACUGGGCGUAAAGGGAGCGUAGGUGGCCUGACAUGUCAACUGUGAAAACCCGGAGCUCAACUCCGGACUUGCAGUUGAAACUGCCAGGCUUGAGGACGGUAGAGGAAGACGGAACUGCCAGUGUAGGGGUAAAAUCCUUAGAUAUUGGCAGGAACGCCGGUGACGAAGGUGGUUUUCUGGGCCGGUUCUGACACUGAUGCUCGAAAGCCAGGGGAGCGAACGGGAUUAGAUACCCCGGUAGUCCUGGCCCUAAACGAUGUUCACUAGGUGUGGGGAGCGGAAAGCUUUCCGUGCUAAAGCUAACGCAAUAAGUGAACCGCCUGGGGAGUACGCCCGCAAGGGUGAAACUCAAAUGAAUUGACGG
rnacentral:rRNA from 1 species